ensembl:ncRNA T04C12.23 ncRNA
CCUUUAUAUAAAAACAAUACCUGAUUCGGCGAAUACUUCAAUGAAUCACGAAGAAAAAUUGAGGAAUGAU